rnacentral:lncRNA from 1 species
CAGAUGGAAAUCAUAUGAAGACAUAGCAUUGUGUCAGGUAAUAGAGACAAAAGCAUCAAGUUUUCAGGAUCAUUUGAUGGAUUAAACAGGAAAACCAAAAAUCUCCAAGUGAGAAGACCUUACUUGUCUUCUGAAAGUCUGAAAAGCUGGGAUACAUGAUGACUGUCAUCCCUUGAGUCACGUGCCCUGUAGCUGCCACUGUUGGGCUUGACUCUCUGUCCUUGGGCCCACUUUGAAAAUCCCUGGGAAGUCCUUGGAGUCAGAUGAUCAGGCCUCCACGCCUCUGCCAAAAAGUCUGUUCACUUGAUGAACACCUGUUUUCUAAGUCCUGAAUCUGUAAUCAUAAGAUUCAGCCCUGUUUCCUUCCAAAUCUUGACUUCAUAUUCAAACUAGAGAAUAAAAAUUUAAAAACAGACCCUUGUGCCUAGGAUGUAGAAAAAUUAUUAAUUGUUUUCCUAUGUCCCACAUAAAAUACCAAACAGUUUUUAACCAUUAUGAAAAUGUAUUUAUUGUAAGACAGCUUCAAAAUAAAGUAUUUUCAUGUAAGUUUAAA